UGCGGAAAAGCUACUAAAUCAAAGUAGUUAUUGAAUUGUUUUCUAAAAAUUUUUGGUUGUUUUCUUAAUGUUGUUUACUACUUUGAUUGUUUUCUUAAUAUUGUUUACUAAUAUGUCUCCUCUGUGUGUGUGAGAGAAAUUUCUCUGAUCCAAUAAAAAAUUAUAGGCGGACGUUGUUAAGACAAGCACAUUAUAAAAUAUAACAUAAAUACACGGGUAAGUGUUUGAAUUUAAAGUAUGUGUGGGUGGUCGGAUUAGGAAGGCAGUGGUAGUGGGUGGAGAAGGAGGAAGAAGAGCAGGAAUAUUAAGCUUACCGAUCAAUGCAUUUCUUCUGGUGAGCUCUUCAGUUCAGUGUUGUGAAGGUGGAGCUUGCCAUAUCUCGUUGAAAAUUUGUAAUUUUGGCAAGCAUGGAACGACAUCCUAAAGCAGUUGUAUAUCGAUUGAUUGCAAGGACAAGCUGCCUGAAAAUUUUCUUCCUGAUUAGCAAGGUAGUUGUCGUAAUACUAUACAAACAGUUAGUAUUUUGCAAGUGCCGCCAUACCAUCGUUUGCUUUUGAAUAUUGCACUUUGGUUGCAUCUUUGCAAUUAAAAGUGACACAUGGGUUUCUAGGCUGUCUAAACCUUCUGCUACGGCCUCCCUUACGGAUGAUGGUAUAAACUUGUUUCAAGAUGGAUGCACUCAUACUUUGGAGGACAGGCCACUGCUGCAGUGUCUGAUCAUGUGUGGGUUAUGAAUCUUGUUCUUGCUAAAAAACGUUGUUACUUGGGAGUAGUAAAUGAUAGGGCCUAAUUGGUGUUUAUCAUGACAGGCAAAUAUGGAUAAUUAAUUUUCUUAUCUUAUACAAAUUACACACAAUGUCAUUCCUUGCUUGCUCAUGUGCAUAUUAUUUCUUCCGUUGAAUAUGGAUUACUAGGGGUAAUUGCAACGCUCCUUCUAAAUUACAAACUGGAUACCAUGUCCAACAUAAGAUCUCGUGUUCAUCUUAUUUACUAGCUGCUUGCUUGCGGUUACAUUGCAAAACUAGAAAAUUCAAAUUGAUAGGUUGCCCAUCCACCCUUUUUCAAGCUAUUUACAUAUUUUUCACUUGUCAGCAAGUUCGCAUAUGAUGGUGGGAAUUUAACAUAAGGACACAGAAAAGAUGCACUUCGAAUGUGAAAGAAACUAAGCAUACAGAUAACAAAUUAGCAGUUGUCUAUCAGUAAGCAAGAAAUGGAAGCAUCCUUCUAAAUAACAUAAGGAAUGUGCAUCCUUCUAAAUAACAUAAGGAAUGUGCGAGUUGAAUGUUGUGGCGUCGAGGGGAGGCUGAGAAGUCAUGGUUGGGAGAGGUAGCGGCGAUGACACCGUGAUGAGGAGAGUGGUCCAGCAGAAUCUAAACUCCUAAGGGAGCAGUUGGUAGUCUCGCUUCCAGGUUUUUUUUAGUCCCACCUCCCACGGUUAAUUUUGGUACCUCCUCCCACCUCCCGCUACCCAGCGAUCCCCCCCUCCUCCCUCGAGACCGACAAAAAAAACAGCAUGCUACCACGAGGCCCAUUGUGAAACACUACGGUUCAGCGACAGAAAAUCGUCCUAAAAAAAUCUACGAUGGUUAACCUACGAAAAUUAACCAGACCCUCGCACGCACGAGCGAUUCCCUCCGUCCACGCCGCUUACGAUCCAGGAAGGCAGUAGGGGCGUGCGAGGGGAAUACGCCCCAGCCGCCAUAGUGGAGCCCUAUACCGCCGCCGAGAUCCGACAGGAGCCGCCGCCGCCGAGGUUCAAGAGGAACCGGCCACCACGACCUCCCUCCCUAGCCGACCGCCACCCACCUCCCCGGGCAGCCAUGUACAGAGGGGCGGCGACCACGUGCCUGGCAUAGGUGGGUCUCGGCCUCCCUCCUCCCUUCGUCCAAGGCUAGGAACUUCCCUCCCCUACCCGAUCUCCUCCCUUCAUCCAAGGCCACGAUCUCCCCUCCCCUACCCGAUCUCCUCCCUUCAUCCAAGGCCAUGAUCUCCCCUCCCCUACCCGAUCUGACGGAGAGAGGGCCAGGCCUUGCCACUCCGGUGUUCGAUGUGGCCAGAUCUGGCCGGGGGACUCGCCGCAGAGCCUCCAUGUCGGCGGAACAGCAGCAGCCCGACAGAAGGAUUCAGAUUUAUGGCAGGGACACAAUCAAAUUUAUACCAUACGUUGUGAUGAUACAAGGAAAGUAAACAUAGAUGCAUAUUUUGUUCAACGUUACGAUACAAGGGAGAGUUGGCCUACGUCGCCAACUGAUCUGCGGCAGCGUGGAAGGAGAGUUCAAAAGCAGCAGGAGCGGCUGUUCUACUGCUGGUCGGAGGGAGAGCUUGGCAAGGGAGACAGAGGGAGCUCUACAACCACGAUCUUGGCAUACAACCCGAUGGCAUCAUGUCCACGUAAGCUUCUUCCAUGUUCCAAUUAUUGCACUUGUUGGUCUUUUGCUGUCAUAGCUUACGAAAUCUUAGAUGUUGCUGACAAAAGACCGAGAUACAAUAUUUUGAUUGCAGACUAUAUAUUUUUCGGUAAUAUGUAAAGCCUAAGUGAGAGACACAAUGUCUUGAUUGUAGUCUUGCAGACUCCAUAUUUUUCAGCAAGUACGUUCGCAAAAAAAAUUGAUCUCAGCAGGUUGGUGUUCAUGUACACGUUGCCAUUUGAGAAUAUACUGUGUAUUACUCAAAUCUCAAAACAAAUGGCCCAUUCUGACCAGACCAUAACUAUUCCAAAGCAUUGAUAGGCUUUUUUAAACAUCAAGAUAUCUGAAUAUUUAUCUUAGCAGUGUCCAAAAACCAAAUGGUUAUGUUUGUUCAGAUUUUCCUCAUUUUUAUGUUCUUUGAAUUAUAGUGCUUGAGGUUAAUAAUAAAUGAUUGUUGGUAACUUAACUAGCUCUUGAGAAUAAUGUGUGAUAUAGGUUGCUCCUAUAUGUGUCAUUGACUAUGUUGCUUGUGGAGAGUAAUAAGGAUUUAUCUAGCUCAUGUACAUCUGAGCCUGAGACGGAGAGGACGACUGUCGUGGCUCCAUUGAUGAUAGUGGUUGCGACGCAGAGCCGUACGAAUGGACAACAAGCAAGCCAAGCACUCCCUGGGAAUCGCCGUGAUUCUGAAACGGGUGGCGGGUCCCUGCCUCUACCGCCCAUGAAGCUGACAACGAUCACGUGGUCGUCGUGCGACGGCUGCGGAGGGGGGAGGGGGGCAGGCAGGGGGAGACUUAUAGGCGAGAACCUGCACGGAGGAGGAAGGAGACGCCUCAGGUGGAGAUGAUGACGACGACCGUGCCCCAUCACUAGCGGCGGUCACGACGUGCAGCUGCAGGACUAGAGAUCAUACAGGUCGGGCCGUUUCUGGUAGUUGUUUGCUUUGGUGGUGCUCUUGGGUUUACGAUUUCAAUAAAAUCCUGUUGCGAAGUGGAAGGUUAAUGUUAUUUCUCUGAUAUCAUAUUGUAUCUUCUUGGUUCAAGUAUUGAGAAAGUAACACUGCCGCAUAUGUAUUUACUUAGUUUGCCAAGCUGGUGAAAAUAUAUGUAAUUCAGACAUGAUAGACAGUCAAAUUUACAAGUAACUUUUAUAGUCAUAGGCUCAUAGCUAGCUUACUCUGGUUUACUUGGUCCAUGUAGAGUUGGAAUCUCAGAGCUACACAUUCAACCGGCUUGCUUUGAAAAUCGAGUAAAACUAAAGGAAUAGAGGUUUCAAAUGCAACAAGAGUUUAAUAGUGCUACAGAUAUGUGGAGCGGGCAAGAAUAGUUGGUCAGCCUUUAGUAACUACUAUUGAUGUUACUCCAGAUGCAAGUUUCUUGCAUGAAGCUGACUGUUGUUUAUUAUUUUUCUUCAUGCCAUAUUUCUUUGAGAUCUCCAAAUUAUCCCAGACUUGCUUCAUACUUUGGUGCCAUCUGCAUUACUGCAUAUACUAUUCACUAUUCAGACUGGCUCUGGAGCAAACUGCGUAGCAAGAUCAAUAAUGAAUGGUUCAAGUCAUGUAUUACAAGUUACAAUGAGCAGGAGGUAGUCAAGUCAGUUGAUGAUAAGGAUAUUAUUCGAACAUUUACUGCAAUGACGUCUCGGAAAGGGCAUUUGCCUUGUGAUUGUCUUUAGUGCGCUAUUGGUAUUCGUGCCUUCUAUGAUUUUGGCAACAUGGCGAGCUUGCAGCAGGGGUCAGAGAAGGGCGCGUUGUGACGGACCUCCGCUCCUCUGCGGAUGCCUAAGCAGCGAUGAGACGCUUCACGGAAUCGAGUCUAUGAGUCUCUCUGCAUGCGCUGCGGCGAGAGUAUAAGUGCCUUGAUCUGUGGCACAGCUCCUAACCCCAUUCCCUUUGGUUUCGGCUUGACUCAUUGUGAAUUCUGAUGCGUACUUUCUUUUGGUCAGGGCACCAUGAGGUUGCUGCUGACUACGAUUCCCAACUUCCAGGAGAUAAGGUUCAUCGCACUCUGUUCUCGUUGCGAAAGCUUAUUGUUUUGAUUUUAAAACGGUGGUAGAUAUGCGUUUGUAAAUUUGCAGGUCGUUGUGAUGGCUUUUGAAUGCCCGCAAUGUAAUGAAAGGUAAUGCAAUACUCGUCGGGGUACUUUUGCACAUGCAAGCGCAGUAUCUUAAGUUUUGUGUGCUUGUGAACUAGGAACUACGAGGUCCAGUUUGCUGGACAGUUCCGGCCUAAUAACCAAAGAUGAUGUGUGGCUAGAAAUGACAUGAUGUCUCGUUUAGCAUGGCUGUUGUUCUGAACUGUAACCUACACCAGAGCGUUGUGUGCAGAUAAUUGACGGGAAGGAGCUCCUGAUGGGAAGGACAUACACUGACAAUCAUCAUGUGAAGAAGGCUGUUACUACAGUUGAAGCGCCAAGCAAGAUUCCGUAAUGGGAAAUCUGCAAGUUCUAAACCAUCUCUGAUUUGAGUAGGUCAAGCAAUUGAAUGAUUGGAAAUAUGUAACUACAUUACCAUCUCGGACUAAUCAACCAUUUGAAAGACAUUAUGUGCUCGGGGAGCAAAAACUUUUGGGCAGACACCUUGGUGGUUUUUUCGUACUAUUAAGGAGGCACCAUUGCAACCUGAACAAGGUUUGUGAGCACCUAGCUUAAUCCUUCUGUAUGGAUCCUACAAGCAGAAGUCAUCCACAUCACGUUUUAAUAUUCUGGAGUAUUAUUUCAUCCCUAGCUCCACUUGCUGCUCAAAACCUGUGCAUACCAUAGUUUGACAACCAGCAGACCCCUAGAAUCUGUUGCAUGGAGUGAGCUACCUUUUUUUUGCGGGAUCAUGGAGUGAGCUACCAAAUAGACAUGUAACAAAAACAAUAUUUUCUUUCAUCUUGAUAUAAAUAUAAUUGUGCUAUUGGGUCUUUAGUGGAA